rnacentral:ncRNA from 1 species
CGCUCAUCCAGAGGGGCAGAGGGAUACGGCCCGAUGAAGCCCCGGCAACCCUCCAGCCGGUCUCGUGCGUGAUCACGCAGCGAGGCUCCCGGCUAGGGAAGGUGCCAAAUCCGUCUCACGGCGAGAUGCGUCGUGAGGAAGAUGAGGA